GCAGGUCAGUUGGUAGAGCAUGAGAAUUUUAAUUUCAAGGUUGGUGUGUUCAAGCCCCAUGUUGGGCA